GCUUACACAUGCAAGUCGAGGGGUAGGGGCCUUCGGGCCUUGAGACCGGCGCACGGGUGCGUAACGCGUAUGCAAUCUGCCUUCCACAGAGGGAUAGCCCAGAGAAAUUUGGAUUAAUACCUCAUAGCAUCAUGACCCGGCAUCGGGAUAUGAUUAAAGUCACAACGGUGGAAGAUGAGCAUGCGUCCCAUUAGCUAGUUGGUAAGGUAACGGCUUACCAAGGCUACGAUGGGUAGGGGUCCUGAGAGGGAGAUCCCCCACACUGGUACUGAGACACGGACCAGACUCCUACGGGAGGCAGCAGUGAGGAAUAUUGGUCAAUGGGCGCAAGCCUGAACCAGCCAUGCCGCGUGCAGGAUGACGGUCCUAUGGAUUGUAAACUGCUUUUGUACGGGAAGAAACCCUCCUACGUGUAGGAGCUUGACGGUACCGUAAGAAUAAGGAUCGGCUAACUCCGUGCCAGCAGCCGCGGUAAUACGGAGGAUCCAAGCGUUAUCCGGAAUCAUUGGGUUUAAAGGGUCUGUAGGCGGUCUUGUAAGUCAGUGGUGAAAGCCCAUCGCUCAACGGUGGAACGGCCAUUGAUACUGCUGGACUUGAAUUAUUGGGAAGCAACUAGAAUAUGUAGUGUAGCGGUGAAAUGCUUAGAGAUUACAUGGAAUACCAAUUGCGAAGGCAGGUUGCUACCAAUGGAUUGACGCUGAUGGACGAAAGCGUGCGUAGCGAACAGGAUUAGAUACCCUGGUAGUCCACGCCGUAAACGAUGGAUACUAGCUGUUGCGCGCAAGUUCAGUGGCUAAGCGAAAGUGAUAAGUAUCCCACCUGGGGAGUACGAACGCAAGUUUGAAACUCAAAGGAAUUGACGGGGGCCCGCACAAGCGGUGGAGCAUGUGGUUUAAUUCGAUGAUACGCGAGGAACCUUACCAAGGCUUAAAUGCAGACUGACCGGUUUGGAAACAGACCUUUCGCAAGACGGUCUACA
rnacentral:rRNA from 1 species